GAAGACCCAUAGGACUUUAACCUACAUCACCUGUAUGCAACUCAGACAUUUUAAUUAAAAUAAGGCCUA
rnacentral:tRNA from 1 species